UACGUAGGCGGUCCAAUAAGUCAGUGGUGAAAUCCUGCAGCUUAACUGUAGAACUGCCAUUGAUACUGCUGGACUUGAAUAUAGAUGAGGUAGGCGGAAUGUGUUGUGUAGCGGUGAAAUGCUUAGAUAUAACACAGAACACCAAUUGCGAAGGCAGCUUACUAGACUAUUAUUGACGCUGAGGUACGAAAGCGUGGGGAGCGAACAGGAUUAGAUACCCUGGUAGUCC
rnacentral:rRNA from 1 species